UCCAAGUGACACUAGCAAUCACAUUGCCUUUAGCUGAGCAAACACUUUGAGUUAUAGCCAUUUGACAGUGUCAAUAGGGAAAAAUUACAAUGCGCCCGAUUCCUGUUGGUUCUAAGCCGAAGAUAAUCUCGACGAAACUGCCACUAAAAAUUAAGCAGAGCUCUUAAGCAACUCUACCAAAGUGUGCGGCAGAUAUGCGGCCAUGAGAACAGAAAAAAGGAGCUGUAGUGGUCCAAUAGUCUGCCACACCGGCUAUUAUGCGCACACAAUGCCAACGGUAAACGCAAAAAGAAACUGCGGGAAAAUGAAAGGAGCUCGAAGCGGGAAAAACUAGCGGAAAAGCGCCAUCCGGGUGGGAAAAGUUUCCCAGCUAGACGGUGCAUUUAAUACACUUUGCAUAACUAGCUGUCUGGGCUUUUAUAGUUUUACGAUAUGAUGGAAUUAUUUUUAGAUGGUACAUGCAGUAGCACAGAGAGGGUUUGACAACAUGUGGAAAAUAUUUAUGUUAACGGUUAAUAUUUAAUAUCUGUGGCUCUACGUACUCUUUAAAAUUAUUGAAGGGUAAAGCAGUUCGUAGCGAAAGCAAUACCCCGACGUAGGAUCUGACGAUUUGGGUCGAGCUUCUGAAUGGGUUCAUAUUCUUCUCGCACCUGCCACCCCUCCCCCGUUUGAAUUUAAUUUUUCUGGCCUGUCCCCCUUAUGUUCUCCCUCCGUUCUGGCUUCUUUUAUUUUUUGGUCCGGUUCAAAAUUGAAAGUGCAUUAGCCUUUUCAGUUAAUUUGCAGAGCCACUGGAGGGAUUUUGUUCUUCUGAUUGGCAGGACCCAGAAUCGGAUGCCAAAUUCCGGAUUAACAUCAGCCAGACUUAACGCUCGGCUUGCCUUUUCAAAACAAUUUGUGCUAAUUUCCAGCCAUGAUGCAGGGCCGUAAAAACGUAGAAUAAACUAAGGAAGAACUAAAGAGAA
rnacentral:sRNA from 1 species